rnacentral:rRNA from 1 species
GAUGAACGCUGGCGGCGUGCCUAAUACAUGCAAGUCGAACGCAUAGCGAAAGGUGCUUGCACCUUUCAAGUGAGUGGCGAACGGGUGAGUAACACGUGGACAACCUGCCUCAAGGCUGGGGAUAACAUUUGGAAACAGAUGCUAAUACCGAAUAAAACUUAGUGUCGCAUGACACAAAGUUAAAAGGCGCUUCGGCGUCACCUAGAGAUGGAUCCGCGGUGCAUUAGUUAGUUGGUGGGGUAAAGGCCUACCAAGACAAUGAUGCAUAGCCGAGUUGAGAGACUGAUCGGCCACAUUGGGACUGAGGCACGGCCCAAACUCCUACGGGAGGCUGCAGUAGGGAAUCUUCCACAAAGGGCGAAAGCCUGAUGGAGCAACGCCGCGUGUGUGAUGAAGGCUUUCGGGUCGUAAAGCACUGUUGUAUGGGAAGAACAGCUAGAAUAGGAAAUGAUUUUAGUUUGACGGUACCAUACCAGAAAGGGACGGCUAAAUACGUG